rnacentral:rRNA from 1 species
GCACAAGCAGUGGAGUAUGUGGUUUAAUUCGACGCAACGCGAAGAACCUUACCAGGGCUUGACAUCCUCUGGCCGGCGCAGAGAUGCGCCUUUCCUUCGGGGACAGAGAGACAGGUUGGUGCAUGGUUGUCGUCAGCUCGUGUCGUGAGAUGUUGGGUUAAGUCCCGCAACGAGCGCAACCCCUAUGGUCAGUUGCCAGCAUGUAAAGAUGGGCACUCUGGCGAGACUGCCGUUGACAAAACGGAGGAAGGUGGGGACGACGUCAAAUCAUCAUGCCCCUUAUGACCUGGGCUACACACGUGCUACAAUGGUUGGUACAACGAGUUGCGAGUCGGUGACGGCGAGCUAAUCUCUUAAAGCCAAUCUCAGUUCGGAUUGUAGGCUGCAACUCGCCUACAUGAAGUCGGAAUCGCUAGUAAUCGCGGAUCAGCACGCCGCGGUGAAUACGUUCCCGGGCCUU